rnacentral:snRNA from 1 species
UCAUGACCCUCGCGAUCUUC